rnacentral:rRNA from 1 species
GACGAACGCUGGCGGCGUGCCUAACACAUGCAAGUCGAGCGAAGUGCUUUAAGUGGAAUCCUUCGGGAUAAAACUUGAAGCACUUAGCGGCGGACGGGUGAGUAAUACGUGAGGAACCUACCUCCCACAAGGGGAUAGCCUCGGGAAACCGGGAUUAAUACCCUAUGACACCUAGGUAUCGCAUGAUACUUAGGUUAAAGCGCUUUAGCGGUGGGAGAUGGCCUCGCGUCCCAUUAGCUAGUUGGUGAGGUAACGGCUCACCAAGGCGACGAUGGGUAGCCGGCCUGAGAGGGUGACCGGCCACACUGGGACUGAGACACGGCCCAGACUCCUACGGGGGGCAG